rnacentral:rRNA from 1 species
CCUACGGGUGGCAGCAGUGAGGAAUAUUGGUCAAUGGACGAGAGUCUGAACCAGCCAAGUAGCGUGAAGGAUGACUGCCCUAUGGGUUGUAAACUUCUUUUAUAUGGGAAUAAAAUGUUCCACGUGUGGGAUUUUGUAUGUACCAUAUGAAUAAGGAUCGGCUAACUCCGUGCCAGCAGCCGCGGUAAUACGGAGGAUCCGAGCGUUAUCCGGAUUUAUUGGGUUUAAAGGGAGCGUAGGUGGUUUGUUAAGUCAGUUGUGAAAGUUUGCGGCUCAACCGUAAAAUUGCAGUUGAGACUGGCAGUCUUGAGUGCAGUAGAGGUGGGCGGAAUGCGUGGUGUAGCGGUGAAAUGCUUAGAUAUCACGAAGAACUCCGAUUGCGAAGGCAGUUCACUAGACUGCAACUGACACUGAGGCUCGAAAGUGUGGGUAUCAAACAGGAUUAGAUACCCCUGUAGUC